rnacentral:rRNA from 1 species
AUAACUAAGCGGAGGAAAAGAAACUAACCAGGAUUCCCUCAGUAACGGCGAGUGAAGCGGGAUGAGCCCAGCACCGAAUCCCCCGGCCGAACGGCCGGCGGGAACUGUGGUGUGCGGGACGCCACCAGCCGCGCGGGCGGGCGCUGAAGUCCUCCUGAUCGAGGCCUCUCCCACAGUGGGUGUAAGGCCUUUGCUGGUGCCGGCGCGCGCGGCCGCGAGCGUCCCAGGAGUCGGGUUGUUUGGGAAUGCAGCCCAAAGUGGGUGGUAAACUCCAUCUAAGGCUAAAUACUGGCGCGAGUCCGAUAGCGGACAAGUACCGUGAGGGAAGGUUGAAAAGAACUUUGAAGAGAGAGUUCAAGAGUACGUGAAACUGCCCAGAGGCAAACGGGCGGACCCGCAAAGUCGGCCGGCGGAAUUCAGCCCGGCCGGGGGAAGGGGGGCGAGCGUGGCGCGGAUCUCCGGACCGCCCCGUGGCCCCUUGCCGAUCCCCCGCCGGGUGCACUUUGCGUCGGCCGAACGCCACGACCGGCUCCCGGCCGGCCAUGAGCCCGGCGAGGAAGGUGGGCGGCGGGUUUUUCCCCUCGUGGGAUUGCCGGCCGCAGUUACAGCCUCGCCGCGGAUCGGGCCCGGCUUCGAGGGGGCCGAGGAACUUCCGCGCCCCGCAGCAGGCCGCCGGGCCGAGGGCGGGGGUCACGACCGGCGGGGACUGGGCAACCGUGCCCGCCGACUGCCCCCGCUCGACGACCCGGCACGCCCGGUGGGCGCCGCGGGUUGGUGGCGAUGAUGUCGGGGAUCCGCCCGACCCGUCUUGAAACACGGACCAAGGAGUCUGGCGUGCGCGCGAGUCGCGGGGUAGUACGAAACCCGCGGGCGCAGUGAAAGCGAGGGCCUCCUAGGGAUGGCCCAGGCGGGAUCCUGUCUCCCUGCGGGGUGGCGGGCGCACCGCCGCCCCGUCCUGGCCGCGUCGGCGGCGGGGCGGAGCGAGAGCGCGCGCGCCGGGACCCGAAAGAUGGUGAACUAUGCCUGAGCAGGGCGAACAGGGGAAACUCUGGUGGAGGCCCGCAGCGAUUC